UGGGGAAUAUUGCACAAUGGACGGAAGUCUGAUGCAGCAACGCCGCGUGCGGGAUGACGGCCUUCGGGUUGUAAACCGCUUUUUCUCAUGACGAAGUUUUUUGACGGUAGUGGGGGAAGAAGCACAGGCUAACUACGUGCCAGCAGCCGCGGUGAUACGUAGGGUGCGAGCGUUGUCCGGAAUUAUUGGGCGUAAAGAGCUUGUAGGCGGUUUGUCGCGUCGAUAGUGCAAACUCAGUGCUUAACGCUGAGCCUGCUGUUGAUACGGGCAGACUAGAGGAAGGUAGGGGAGAAUGGAAUUCCCGGUGGAGCGGUGGAAUGCGCAGAUAUCGGGAGGAACACCGGUGGCGAAGGCGGUUCUCUGGGCCUUUCCUGACGCUGAGAAGCGAAAGCGUGGGGAGCGAACAGG
rnacentral:rRNA from 1 species